rnacentral:rRNA from 1 species
AUCUAUGGUCAUGCCACCUUGAACAAGCCUGAUGUCUGAUCUCGGAAGCUUAGCAGGGUCGGGCCUGGUUAGUACUUAAAUGGGAGACCACCUAAGAAGACCAGGGGCUGUAGGCA